rnacentral:lncRNA from 1 species
GUUUUUUUACUUCUUGAAGAUAAUAAACAACUAAAUUUUUCUUACACGAAAAAUCCUGAAUAUUUUAAAACCACCUUUUUCUUCAUUUAUAAAUAUAUAUACAUGCACACACUAUGGAAGAAACACAAAUUGCGAGGGUUUUGGAUUUAUUUAAUUUAAAAAAAAAAUGAUAUGGGUUAUAUUGAUAAGCAAGAGCUCAUAACAAUACUGAAAUCUUUAGGGUUUAUAAUAUGUAAUGAUAUGUUCGUAAAUAAUAAAAAUUUCUACACGAUUGAUGAUUUAAAUGACUUUGUUUAUAAACUUAAAAGUAAUUAUUAUGCGAAGAAGAAAGUUGAAAAAUGUAUUCAAUUUUUAAACCCUAACAAUGACAAAAUAAAUACGAUCAUUUUAAAAAAGUUAUUGUGUGAACAUGGAAACAAGUUCACAGAAGAAGAGUUUAAAAAAUUUCUUGUUGAUGUUCCAGUAGACGACGAUGGGAACAUAAGCCACUCUGAUUUCAUUGAAACGUAAGAGAAAAAAAAAAACAAAAAAAAAAAAAAAAAAGAGCGUAACAUAUAUGCAUUAAUUGUAAUUAUGAUUAGAAAAACAAAGCAAAACACACAUACAUUAAUUUUAAUAAGGAUUAAAAAAUAUAUAUAUUAUCAACUGUUUAUCGAUAUAAAGUGCACGAAAAUUCAAAUAAUUUUAUAACUUUACAAUGUUACAAUUUUAUAAUAGUUUAUUUUUUCAAUUUCAUAAUCGUACAGUGUUACAAUUUUAUAGUUUUCCUUUUAUUUUUUGUUACUUUUUUUUUUUUUUUUAAAGCUUUUCUAAGUACGUCGAAUACUAAAAACAAAAUACACAGUCGUCAGGAAUAAAAAAUUAAAAAUAAGAAAAAAACA